ACAUUGAUUGAUUUGUGGAUAUUGAACAAUCCUUGCAUCCCUAGCAUAAAUCCCAGUUGCUCAGGGGACACGAGUUCGAGCCCUGGUCUGGGAAGAUCUCACACGCUGCGGAGCAGCUAAGCCUGCAAGCUACAACUACUGAAGCCCGCGCCUAGAUCCCGUGCUGUGCAACAAGAGAAGCCACCGCAAUGAGAAGCCUGCGCACCGCAAGAAAGAGUAGCUCCCGCUUGCCGCAGCUAGAGAAAGCCCACGAGCCCAAGGCAACCAAAAAUAAAAUAAAUAAACAUAAAUAAAUUUUUUAAAAAA